CCUUAGUUAGCCGGCGCUUCUUCUGCAGGUCCGUCACUCUCGCUUCUUCCCUACUGAAAGAGGUUUACAACCCGAANGCCGUCAUCCCUCACGCGGCGUCGCUGCAUCAGAGCUUGCGCCCAUUGUGCAAUAUUCCCCACUGCUGCCUCCCGUAGGACA
rnacentral:rRNA from 1 species